rnacentral:rRNA from 1 species
UACGUAAGUGGCAAGCGUUGUCCGGAUUUAUUGGGCGUAAAGAGCGUGUAGGCGGCCAGGUAGGUCUGGUGUGAAAACUCGAGGCUUAACCUCGAGAUGUCAUCGGAAACCAUCUGGCUAGAGUCCGGAAGAGGAGAGUGGAAUUCCUGGUGUAGCGGUGAAAUGCGCAGAUAUCAGGAAGAACACCAAUGGCGAAAGCAGCUCUCUGGGACGGUACUGACGCUGAGACGCGAAAGCGUGGGGAGCGAACAGG